UCUUUUCCUUUCUUAUAGCAUCCUGUUCUUGUUUUAUGGAUGUACUAUAAUCUUGAAUCUCUCUGAGAUAAUACAGGUAUUUUUAUAUCUCCUUCUAUUCUUUGAAAUAUCUAUUUCAUUUGGGAUUGUUUUUUCCCUUGAUUGCUUAUUUUGGUCUCUUUAUUACAUGUUGCAGUCUAUUCUCAAAGAAAUCCUGAUGAUCCAUGGUUGUUUACUGGUAUUUUUAAAUGUAGCAAUGAAAAUCUGAUUGGAAACUGUGUAUGGGGGCAGUGCUAAGCAACUGGUGAUUUUCCUUUAGGAUAAUUAAAGAAAAGCUGACUGCUGUGCUACAGAGUCCCUGAAUGGCCAGAAUGUUAAGGUCUUUUCUCUGAAAUCGUUCAGUUUCCUUAGAGAAGAACCCUCUGGUUUUGGACUAAUGGGAAGACACCUGGAUGCUUUGAAUUGUACACAGGGGAAUGGAUUGAUGGUUUGAUAUACAGUCUUCCCUGUUUUCAGCCCUACAUCCCACUCCUAACCCUUCAUCAUACUUGGCAUUGUCAAGACCCAAGACUCUCCAGGCUUCUACAAAGAAAGACCAACUCCUUCCUCAGAGACAUCUCCUCCAUACAUACUCCAGGCUAUGGCUCCCUUCACCAUGCUUCAUCAGUCACCAUUUCUCCAUUUACUUCUUAUCUUCCAGAAAUUUGUUGAAAUCUCUUUUGUGGAUGGACCUGCUCCCAUUCUCUUCAUCAUUGUGUUUUUAUACUUUUUUUUAUUCCUUUAUGAUCAUUUUAACAGGAUCUCAGGAGGGAGUGGAGAUAAAUACAUGAUACCUUCCUCCUGGAGCCUCCGUCUUCCUGCUCCAAUUUGGACUGAUUGCUCUGUAGGCCUGCGGCACAGCUGUCAUCAUGGGACGUCCCUUCAUUACUCUUCUGGGUUGGACCCAAUCUUUCUUGGACCCCAUAUCUUCCUCUUUCUUAAUUAUUCCCUUGUAGUGGACAUUGUGGUUAUUUUCCAACAUCCAUUCCACUUCUCCCCCAUUGUAUAACAACUGUGCAAUUUGAGUGGGAUUGACCCCACCAGCAGCUCUAGGUAUAGGCCUUCAUUGAUAUAAACUGAUCUGAGUAAUUUCAUCCCCCAGCUAAGUGAUGAUUGGUUCAGGGAUGAUCCAGUCACAAUGAGGCUUAGGAAUUUUGUUCAGCUUUAGAGGGAAGAGGUAGCCCCUCUUCCCUGUAUAUGAACAAAGAAGCAUGUGGCUUUGUUGCUGCUGUUUGCCAUCUUGUGAACAUGUAGAAGGCUUACCUGAGGAUGGAACUGACAAGUGGAGGAGGCAGAGCCAAGAGAAUCACAAAGAAAUGGAACCAUAUUCCAGAUCGAACCAGACCUGAAGUCUCCCCACCUAUGGACUCCUAAGUUAAGUGAGCCAAUAAAUUGCAUUUACUUUUUAAGCCAGUUUGAGUUGGGUUUUCUAUUGUUUAUACCUGAAAGCAUUUUAUUUUGUUUUUGGUGUCUCCCUUUGGAAAGGAUGAGUGCAGAUUUAGUGAUUUGAGGUAUAUUGUCACAUGGAAGCAUUUUUUCAAAGUGUAAAUAUGGGAGAAAGGAUAUAUGUGGGUGUAGGACAACCAAGUGAACUCUAAUUUUGGCUUAGCAUCUAAAUCUCAUUACCAUUUUGGGGACAUUCCCCCCUAGUGGGAGUCUUGGUCCCCGGAUUUUCUACUAUGGGAACUAAAGGUGGUCAAAUAGUUCCUCUCCCUGCCCAGCAGGCAAUAAGGGCUGAAUACUCUGUUCACAGCUUUCAAUCUGGAGUCAGCAACACACAGAAACCAGAAAUACACAAAUUAACAGAAUGAUAAUAGAUGAAGAGACUAUAUUUGUAAUAUUUUAAAUUGACAGAAGAUUGAUCAAUAAAAAAGGAGAUAGUAAACCCAUCAGGAAAGUGAUCAUAGGAUAUGAAGAGUAAUUUACACAGGUAGAAAUUUGAAUAUAUUAAGAGAUUUUCAACUCUGCUAAUAAUUAGAGAAAUGAGAAUUAAAAUAACAGUGAGAAAUCACUAUAAAAGUGGUAACAUGUAGAAAGUUAAAUAUUAUCAUUUGCUGAUGAGGAAAUGUGAGAAAAAGGACAAUUAUCGAUGGGAGCAUAAACUGGUACAGCUAUUCCAGAGCAGUUUGGCAGUCUCUUACAACAUUAAGUAUGUAUAUACCAUGCAAUCCAGAAAUCCUAUUCCCCAGUAUAUAUUCUAGAGAAAUUCUCACAUAGGUCCUAAGGAAAUAGAAUUGAGGUUGUUUGUUGCAGCAUUGUUUGUGGUAGUAGAAAUUGGAAGCAAUCUAGGUGUCACCAUGGGACUGGAUAAGCAAACUGAAGUAUAUCCAUAGGAUGGAAAAGUAUAAAACAACUAAAAGUAGUAAGCUACAUUUACAUAUAGCUACAUGAGUAGAUCCCCAAACCUAGUGUUGAAUGAAGAAAGCAAGAAACAGUAAGAUUUAUAGCGUAAUAUUUAUAUAAAUGUAAAACAACAGUGUGUAUUUUCAUGGGUAUGCAUAUAUCUAAAUAAACAUAUGGAAGAUGGAUUCAAAGGAUAAACACAUUAAUUACACUGGAGAGGUUCACCACAAUGGACAGGAGAAUGGAAGUGAGCAUGGGAACUGAGGGGGCAAAAUAAUAAAGGAAAAGAACAGCCACAUAAUGCACAAUGAAUCGAUGAUUAUGAUUAACUGAACCCUGAAGUCCACAACAAAGAAGGCAAAGUAACAGAUGCAAGGAUGUAGAGUUCAUGUGCAGUGGCAUAUGAUGGUAGGUAGCAUCAUGUGCACUGGGAGCAGCAGUGGGGGUGGCAGUGGUUGCCUUCCUACAGUAGGACCUUAGCUUUUGUUUCUCCUGCCUAGCCUCUGCCCACUUUCUUAGCCCAAUUCUUUGGACUCCUGUGAGUUACCUGAUAACCUUGCAAUAAAUACCUUUUCUGCUUAAGUUUACCAGCAUUGUUUCCGUUAUUUGCAUCCAAGAAUCCUGACUGAUAGAUCAUGCAUUUUGUUGGAGAAGAAUACUCAAAUAACUUCUUGAGAAAGUUGUACUGCCUGGAGCCAUGACAGCCAUCUUGUGAACAUGAGGAGAUGAGCAUGAGGAUGAAGACAAUACAUUAAAGAAGAAAAAAUUAGAAGGAAUUUGCUUCCCCAUCAGGCAGCUGA